GACGAACGCUGGCGGCGCGCUUAACACAUGCAAGUCGAACGCUGAAGCUCAGCUUUUGUUGGGUGGAUGAGUGGCGAACGGGUGAGUAACACGUGAGUAACCUGCCCCCUUCUUUGGGAUAACGCCCGGGAACGGGUGCUAAUACUGGAUAUUCACUGGUCUUCGCAUGGGGGUUGGUGGAAAGGGUUUUUCUGGUGGGGGAUGGGCUCGCGGCCUAUCAGCUUGUUGGUGGGGUGAUGGCCUACCAAGGCUUUGACGGGUAGCCGGCCUGAGAGGGUGACCGGUCACAUUGGGACUGAGAUACGGCCCAGACUCCUACGGGAGGCAGCAGUGGGGAAUAUUGCACAAUGGGCGCAAGCCUGAUGCAGCGACGCCGCGUGAGGGAUGGAGGCCUUCGGGUUGUGAACCUCUUUCGCUCAUGGUCAAGCCGCAACAAUGGUUGUGGUGAGGGUAGUGGGUAAAGAAGCGCCGGCUAACUACGUG
rnacentral:rRNA from 1 species